ACCCACAACCAGCCCCCGUCUGCUCUUUCUCUCUCUAGAGUUUUCUCACGAUGCUCUCUUCUUCCCAUUAUUUCCCUUUCUAUAGAUCUUUCACACUCAGCCUAUCUUCGCCGUCCGCCAUCUCGAAGUUGCCGCCGCGAGAUCCGAGGCCAAAGUAGAGGAAGCGGAAGCCAUACAAACCCUAAAUAUCGUUCUGACAUAUCUCCGCCGCCGCUUCGCCGUUCUGGAUUUCCGCCACUCGAAAUGUUCCGUUCCGCCACCGUGCUCAUCUCCAGCCACCCGGUCCUCUGGCGAUGUGAUCCAGCGAUUCCUUCGCUCAUUUUACAUGGCGGCAUCCUUUCCUCCGAUUUACCCUCCAAGCGCCGCUCCUCCUCCGUCAAGCGCCGCUCUAUUUCCACCGCCAACUGCCCGCCACCCCUAGAUGAGAAGGUAAAGUCAGGGAAGGGGAAACCGCCGCCGCCGCCGCUAAUAUUAGAUCAUAGCCAAGAACACCACUUUCCUCUCGGAGCAAAAAUUACGGAUCUAGGGUUUGAGUUUGAGAAUAAAAGUGUGUAAUGGACGAAAGAGAAAUCGAAAUUCAUGCCUUCAAUGCUGAAAACGGGUUGGUAGCAUCACGGUUUGAGAUUAUGAGGAGUACAUGAAGCAGCUCAAUGAUUUUCUCGAUUCUCCUUUGCAGGACGUACGGAGUGUCCCCAAGUGGAACCUUGUGUGCCACGUGGAAGGAUUCAGAUCUGGUUCUAGAUGCUCCGAGAGGCUUAGUAGGUGAAAUCCGGGUAGCCCAUUCACAUUUCUUUCAUCAUUUUUUUUCUUGAGAGAGAAAAUGGAGGAAGAGCCUUCAAAUUGAGAUUUUAGAGAGAGACAGGGGAAAGAAGUGGAACCAGGGUUCGUUAAUUUUCGUUAAUUCAAAACAGCUUUUUUGCGACCGAUA